CUGAGUUUCACAACUCUCCAACCCUGUGUGAACUGAAGUCUGGUUGCUCAGGCAGGCGGCCCCCGGGGGGGACCGCAGCUUCUCUGAAGCGCCUGCCGGAGGAUACCUAAACUCGUUUUAAUACGCAAUCUUCUGAGUAAUAAAAAAAUGAAUCA
rnacentral:misc_RNA from 1 species